rnacentral:rRNA from 1 species
UACGUAGGGGGCAAGCGUUGUCCGGAAUUAUUGGGCGUAAAGCGCGUGUAGGCGGCUUUGCAAGUCGGGUGUGAAAGCCCUCAGCUUAACUGAGGAAGUGCGCCCGAAACUGCAGAGCUUGAGUACCGGAGAGGAUGGCGGAAUUCCCCAAGUAGAGGUGAAAUUCGUAGAUAUGGGGAGGAACACCGGUGGCGAAGGCGGCCAUCUGGACGGAUACUGACGCUGAGACGCGAAAGCGUGGGUAGCAAACAGG